UCACUGCUACCUGACGCUGUUUACAGAUAAUUCUGUGAUAACAUCUAAAUCUUCACCACAGCAUACAGCUCCAAAAGCGGAGACUGUGUCGGUUCCUAAGACAGCGACUCGCACUGCAGACCGAGCCCAUUCCAAAUCUCACCUGAAAAUCCGGGCGUGUUUUGAUGCGUGCUGGCCACAUGGAAACCAGUGGGUGUGCUCUGGCCAGCUGCACCCAGGGAGUUUGGAUUCAAGGCUCCCCAGAAAGGAUCCUUGAGACCAGUUCUCCCACUGUGUUCUGACGGAGAGCCAAAUGCCCCAGUGGUCGAGAUGCUGUGGGGGGCAGCCACGCUUGUCCCAAAUCCCCCACUGCCAGUGGGGCCUGCUGACACCCUGAAUGUGAAGGGCACUGGGAUGGUCCUGCCAAACCCUGAAGUACUGGUCCCACAGGUGGUGGUCUGGGUCACUGCUCCAAAGCCGGAGGUGAUGGCUGCAGAAAAGGAGGAAACAUGGAUCACUGUCUAACCCCAUACACAAAAGUAAAUUUGAAAUUGAUCGAACCCGUGAAUGGAAGCCAUGAAACCAUAAAACGCUUAGAGAAGGACAGGCGAAAAUAUCUUGGACAUAAACAUGAGCGACUUCUUCGUGAGCAUAUCGCUCCAGGGAAAGAAAAGCAAAAAUGAAUAAAUGGGACUAUAUCCAGCUUAAAAGCUUCUGUACAGUAAAGGGCACCACCAACAGAACAAAAGGGCAUCCUCCAGUAUGGGAGAAUAUAUUCAUAAAUGACAGAUCCGAUUAAGGGUUGACAUCCAAAAUAUAUAAAGACCUAACACACCUCAACAAACAAAAAGCAAAUAUUCCAAUAAAAAUGUGGGCAGGGGAGCUGAACAGGCACUUGUCCAAAGAAUAAAUUCAGGUGCCCAAUAGACACAGGAAAAGAGGCACCACAUCACUUGUCAUCAGAGAAAAGCUAAUUAAAACCACAAUGAGAUAUCACCUCACACCAGUAAGGAUCGCCACCAUCCAAAAGACAAACCACAACAAAUGUUGGCAAGGAUGUGGAGAGAGGGGAACCCUCCUACAGUGUUGGUGGGAAUGUAAAUUCGUUCAACCACUGUGGGAAGCAAUAUGGAGGUUCCUCAAAAAGCUCAAAGUAGAAAUAUCAUUUGACCCAGCAAUACCGCUCCCAGGAAUUUACCCUAGGAACACAGCAGCCCGUUUUGAAAAAGACAGAUGUACCCCUUUGUUUAUCGCAGCACUAUUUACAACAGCCAAGAAAUGGAAACAACCUAUGUGUCCAUCAGUAGAGGAAUGUAUGCACAAUGGAAUAAAAUUCAGCCACAAGAAGAAAACAAUUCCUACCAUUUCCAAGAACAUGCUUGGAGCUAGAGGAUAUUAUGCUGAGUGAAAUAAGCAAGGCGGAGAAAGACAAGUACCAAAUGAUUUCACUUAUCUCUGGAGUAUAAGAGCAAAGGAAAAACUGAAGGAACAAAACAGCAGCACAAUCACAGAACCCAAGAAUGGACUACCAGUUACCAAAGAGAAAGGGACUGAGGAGGAUGGGUGGGAAGGGAGGUAUAAGGGCAGCGAAAAAGAAAAGGUGCAUUAUGAUUAGCGUGUAUAAUGUGGUUGGGCACGGGGAGUGCUAGGCUACACAGGAAGAUGAGUAGUGAUUCUACAGCAUGUUACUACACUGAUGGACAAUGAAUCCAAUGGGGUUUGUGCGGGGUACUUGGUGAAGAGGGGAGCCAAAUAAACAUAACGUUCUUAAGGUAAUUGUAGAUAGAUACCAAAAA